CUAAGUUUGAUGGCGACCGGCGCACGGGUGAGUAACACGUAUCCAACCUGCCGAUAACUCCGGAAUAGCCUUUCGAAGAAAGAUUAAUACCGGAUGGCAUACGAAUAUCGCAUGAUAUUUUUAUUUAAAGAAUUUCGGUUAUCGAUGGGGAUGCGUUCCAUUAGGCAGUUGGUGGGGUAACGGCCCACCAAACCUUCGAUGGAUAGGGGUUCUGAGAGGAAGGUCCCCCACAUUGGAACUGAGACACGGUCCAAACUCCUACGGGAGGCAGCAUG
rnacentral:rRNA from 1 species